UACGUAGGGUGCAAGCGUUAAUCGGAAUUACUGGGUGUAAAGCGUGCGCAGGUUGUUAUGCAAGACAGAUGUGAAAGCCCUGAGCUUAACUUAGGAACUGCAUUUGUGACUGCAUAGCUAGAGUGUAUCAGAGGGAGGUAGAAUUCCACGUGUAGCAGUGAAAUGCGUAGAUAUGUGGAGGAAUACCGAUGGCGAAGGCAGCCUCCUGGGAUAACACUGACACUCAUGCACGAAAGCGUGGGGAGCAAACAGG
rnacentral:misc_RNA from 1 species